rnacentral:rRNA from 1 species
UCCGUAGGUGAACCUGCGGAGGGAUCAUUACUGAGUUACCAAAACUCCAACCCUAUGUGAACCUUACCUCUGUUUCCUCGGCCAACUGCAAAGGCCUGCCCGCGGGGUUUACCCUGCUGGGAAAAGGGCCCGACGACGCUUUCCAACCCUUCGGGGAAGGUUAGCUGAGGGUGCCGCUAAGGCCGGCCGCAGCGCCGUUAAACUGCUCCAAAAUACUUUGUCCAACUCUACCCUAUAGAACUAAUCGUUCGAAUCUCUUAUCUCGAGGCUUUUCUUUUUGCCUUGAGGCUGAGGCUUUUCCUUGCCUUGCCUUUCUUCCAGUUCAAAUGUGUUUCCCGGUUGGAAUUAUCUCUCGAAGUUUACGAUGUUACGACCUUAUGAAAUGCCUUCGCGUGAAAUGCUACCCUGUACUACUUCUCGCUCGAAUGUGUUUCCCGGUUGGAAUUUUCGCUCGAAUAUAAUUCUUUUUCUGUACUAAUACUGUUUUUGUUUCUGCUCGAAAGUCUUUCCCGGUUGGAAUUUUUCGCUCGAGGUUCUAUUUUUUAGAGUCUGAAUUGCAUCAAAACAAAUUUUUGUUAAAAACAACUUAUAUCAAAACUUUCAACAACGGAUCUCUUGGUUCUGGCAUCGAUGAAGAACGCAGCGAAAUGCGAUAAGUAAUGUGAAUUGCAGAAUUCAGUGAAUCAUCGAAUCUUUGAACGCACAUUGCGCCCAUUAGUAUUCUAGUGGGCAUGCCUAUUCGAGCGUCAUUACAACCCUUAAGCCCUGUUGCUUAGCGUUGGGAAUCUACGGCUUAGGCGUAGUUCCUCAAAAUUAGUGGCGGAGUUAUAGCACUCUCAGCGUAGUAAUUUGCCUCGCUUCUGAGCUGCUGUAGCUGCCUGCCGUAAAACCCCUAUACUUCUAGUGGUUGACCUCGGAUUAGGUAGGAAUACCCGCUGAACUUAAGCAUAUCAAUAAGCGGAGGA